GAAUGUGAUCGAUGGGCUUAUGUGCCUAUAAUAAUCAUAUACAACUUUCAGCAACGGAUCUCUUGGCUCUCGCAUCGAUGAAGAACGCAGCGAAAUGCGAUAAGUAAUGUGAAUUGCAGAAUUCAGUGAAUCAUCGAAUCUUUGAACGCACCUUGCGCUCCUUGGUAUUCCGAGGAGCAUGCCUGUUUGAGUGUCAUUAAAUUCUCAACCCCUCCAGCUUUUGCGAGCUGCGAUGGGGCUUGGAUGUUGGGAGUUUGCGGGCCUUUAUUAAUAGAGGUCGGCUCUCCUGAAAUGCAUUAGCGGAACCGUUUGCAGUCCCGUCACUAGUGUGAUAAUUAUCUACACUGUGAUGAUUGCCCUCUGACUAGUUCAGCUGCUAAUCGUCCCCUGUCGGACAAUUUUUAAUGAACUUCUUGACCUCAAAUCAGGUAGGACUACCCGCUGAACUUAAGCAUAUCAAUAAGCGGAGGA
rnacentral:rRNA from 1 species